rfam:Geminocystis sp. NIES-3709 DNA, complete genome.
GCUGGUGUGUGUAGCAUUGUGGAACCACUGCGAACCAUCCCGAACUCGUGGGUGAAACGCAAUCGCGGCGACGAUACUAAUGGGGUAGCCCGUUGGGACAAUAGUUCCAUGCCAGCU